UGAUGGUUCUUCUUCUUUGAUAUAGUUUUCUUUAAUUCCUCAUAGAUAUUGCUUUGCUUAUGUUCAGCUUAUUACAAGACUGAAAUAAAUGAUUGUAAUUUGCUUCCGAGUUUCUUUUUGUAGCUUUUAUCGUCAAUCAUCUCAUGGCUUAUGAAACAACCCUUGGUCAGCAUAUAGUAUCCCAUAAGUUCAAUUCCUCAUCUCUUUUUUAUAUUUGAAAUUCUUAUUAACAAAGUAUUAGAUGCAUCUAUAUUUACUAAAUUUGAUGCAUCAUAAUCAUUUUCAACUAUAUGUAUUAUCUGAAAGAAUGUAGCUCCGACUUUCAUAUGGAAACUCCCGAUCAUUUGGGUUCAUCCCUACUUGGUUGUUCUGCCUUUGCAGAUCAAUUUAAGCACCACAGUCUUCCGUUGCAGCUGACCAUGUCUGCUACCUUGCAAUCGGGCCAAUUUGGCUGGACAGUUAUCUUCCUCUGCUUGUCCGAAUACCACAGCAAGCCAUCUGUAUCCAUCACGUUUUCGAACCCCACUUGUGUAGAAAAUGCCACAAAAUCAGUGGCUGCUUGGUCAUAGCUGGAGGAAAAUUUCCCUCUAUACCAACAGAAGAACAUCCCAGGUGCUUGGGCGGCGAAAACUUGCUCAUAAUCUUACACAUCUUGGACCCCGGGGAGGGUACACAAAGACAGGCGCCAAACAGAGAAAAGAAUCUUUGACGUUCUUUGUGAAGAUAUAAAAGCCAAGAAGAUUGGAGCACAAUAAGAAGUUUAAACUGUGAAGAAGCUCCAACAAGUGUUCUUGAUUCAAGGUCUCAAGGUUUGUCAAAAUGAAUUCUUGGUCCAUCUUUUUUUCUUUUGGAACAUUUACAUAAUUCUUGCUCCCAUCUUGAGAUGCUAAAAGCACGGAAGUCUUGCAAAGUACAAUGGCAGGUAUACAGCUCUAAUUUGUGACAUUUUUUUGUAUGUCUGAUAUAUAGACAUUUGUGUCCAUGUCUUCUAAAGAAGAAGACUUCCCACCAUAUUCCAAAACGAUUUAUAUUAUUUAACCAAAAAUAUGAAAAUAA